AGCGGCUGGAAGAGCACCGCAC
rnacentral:snRNA from 1 species